UGAGGUUGAAAAAGGAUAAAAGGCUUUCCAAGGUCACAUAAGUUUCCCACUUCUGGAGGAAUUUGUAUUGAAGCUUGAUGACUACUUGGAAGUUUUCUUGUAAAAGGGAUCCUUGUUCUAGGGCUAUAGGUCUUCUCUCCAUAAAGAUGAAUCUGUUCACUCAAUUCUCUCAACCUGUACAUAGAACCUGGGUUCAUCAAGUUUUACCAGUUGACUAUCCAGAACAAAAAGAUAGCUUCAACCUACAAUAAUCUGAGCCAGCCAAUUUGUUCCUGAUUAAUGAGUCCCAUUGUCCAUUAAGUACGAAGAGGCUUGUCCUUGCUUCUAUAAUAACAUGCAAAAUGCCAA